rnacentral:rRNA from 1 species
UGCCAGCAGCCGCGGUAAUACGGAGGGUACGAACGUUAAUCGGAAUUACUGGGCGUAAAGCGUACGUAGGCGGUUCGACAAGUGGGGUGUGAAAGCCCAGGGCUUAACCUUGGAACUGCAUUCCAAACUGUCGGGCUAGAGUAUGGUAGAGGGAGGUAGAAUUUCCUGUGUAGCGGUGAAAUGCGUAGAUAUAGGAAGGAAUACCGGUGGCGAAGGCGGCCUCCUGGACCAAUACUGACGCUGAGGUACGAAAGCGUGGGGAGCAAACAGGAUUAGAUA